CGGACGGGUGAGUAAUGUCUGGGAAACUGCCUGAUGGAGGGGGAUAACUACUGGAAACGGUAGCUAAUACCGCAUAACGUCGCAAGACCAAAGAGGGGGACCUUAGGGCCUCUUGCCAUCGGAUGUGCUCAGAUGGGAUUAACUAGUAGGUGGGGUAACGGCUCACCUAGGCGACGAUCCCUAGCUGGUCUGAGAGGAUGACCAGCCACACUGGAACUGAGACACGGUCCAG
rnacentral:rRNA from 1 species